rnacentral:rRNA from 1 species
UACAGAGGUCCCAAGCGUUGUUCGGAUUCACUGGGCGUAAAGGGUGCGUAGGUGGUGAGGUAAGUCGGAUGUGAAAUCUCAGGGCUCAACCCUGAAACUGCACUCGAUACUGCUCUGCUUGAGGACUGGAGAGGAGACUGGAAUUUACGGUGUAGCGGUGAAAUGCGUAGAUAUCGUAAGGAAGACCAGUGGCGAAGGCGGGUCUCUGGACAGUUCCUGACGCUGAGGCACGAAGGCCAGGGGAGCAAACGGG